GCGCCUAGGGGCGGAGGCUGGGAACGCCCCGCCGGAGUGGGCUAGGGGGUUGGUCCCCGGCUCUUUCUCGGCGCUUGUUUCCACUAGGCUGGGCCGUGCGGGAUGGGAAGUUUUAUUGAGAUAUAAUUGACAUACAGCACUGUAUAACCAAUCAAGGUUUUACACAACGCAGAGUACUAAGGAUCACGGCUCCAAUCAAGGUUUUAAACUGGGAAAGUUCUGGACAGAACAUUUCCUUGGCUGCUAGGAAGCUCAGACUGACUUUGUAACCCACCUUUGGCAAAAGAAACAAAGAUCUCUACAGUCACUUCAAGCAUUUUUGCACCAAUAGAUUAAGGACUUCCCUGGUGGCACAGUGGUUAAGAAUCCACCUGCCAAUGCAGGGGACACGGGUUCGAGCCCUGGUCCGGAAAGAUCCCACAUGCCGCGGAGCAGCUAAGACCGUGUGCCAUAACUACUGAGCCUGCGCUCUAGAGCCCACAAGCCACAACUACUGAAGCCUGCGUGCCUAGAGCCCGUGCUCCGUAACAAGACAAGCCACCACAAUGAGGAGCCUGCACACCGCAACGAAGAGUAGCCCCCGCUCGCCGCAACUAGAGAAAGCCUGCAUGCAGCAACGGAGACCCAAUGC